CCUGGCCUUGACAUCCACGGAAUUUGGCAGAGAUGCCUUAGUGCCUUCGGGAACCGUGAGACAGGUGCUGCAUGGCUGUCGUCAGCUCGUGUUGUGAAAUGUUGGGUUAACGUCCGCAACGAGCGCAACCCUUAUCCUUUGUUGCCAGCGAUUCGGUCGGGAACUCAAAGGAGACUGCCGGUGAUAAACCGGGGGAAGGUGGGGAUGACGUCAAGUCAUCAUGGCCCUUACGGCCAGGGCUACACACGUGCUACAAUGGCGCAUACAAAGAGAAGCGACCUCGCGAGAGCAAGCGGACCUCAUAAAGUGCGUCGUAGUCCGGAUUGGAGUCUGCAACUCGACUCCAUGAAGUCGGAAUCGCUAGUAAUCGUAGAUCAGAAUGCUACGGUGAAUACGUUCCCGGGCCUUGUACACACCGCCCGUCACACCAUGGGAGUGGGUUGCAAAAGAAGUAGGUAGCUUAACCUUCGGGAGGGCGCUUACCACUUUGUGAUUCAUGACUGGGGUGAAGUCGUAACAAGGUAGGCGUACUACA
rnacentral:rRNA from 1 species